rnacentral:rRNA from 1 species
GUGGGGAAUUUUGGACAAUGGGCGCAAGCCUGAUCCAGCAAUGCCGCGUGCAGGAAGAAGGCCUUCGGGUUGUAAACUGCUUUUGUACGGAACGAAACGGUCCUGGUUAAUACCCGGGGCUAAUGACGGUACCGUAAGAAUAAGCACCGGCUAACUACGUGCCAGCAGCCGCGGUAAUACGUAGGGUGCAAGCGUUAAUCGGAAUUACUGGGCGUAAAGCGGGCGCAGGCGGUGCUGUAAGACAGGCGUGAAAUCCCCGGGCUUAACCUGGGAAUUGCGCUUGGGACUGCAGUGCUGGAGUGCGGCAGAGGGGGAUGGAAUUCCGCGUGUAGCAGUGAAAUGCGUAGAUAUGCGGAGGAACACCGAUGGCGAAGGCAAUCCCCUGGGCCUGCACUGACGCUCAUGCACGAAAGCGUGGGGAGCAAACAGGAUUAGAAACCCUAGUAGUCC